AUUGAACGCUGGCGGCAUGCUUUACACAUGCAAGUCGAACGGUAACAGGUUAAGCUGACGAGUGGCGAACGGGUGAGUAAUGCAUCGGAACGUGCCCGGUCGUGGGGGAUAACGCAGCGAAAGCUGCGCUAAUGCCGCAUACGAUCUGAGGAUGAAAGCGGGGGACCGUAAGGCCUCGCGCGAUCGGAGCGGCCGAUGUCAGAUUAGGUAGUUGGUGGGGUAAAGGCUCACCAAGCCAACGAUCUGUAGCUGGUCUGAGAGGACGACCAGCCACACUGGGACUGAGACACGGCCCAGACUCCUACGGGAGGCAGCAGUGGGGAAUUUUGGACAAUGGGCGAAAGCCUGAUCCAGCAAUGCCGCGUGCAGGAAGAAGGCCUUCGGGUUGUAAACUGCUUUUGUACGGAGCGAAAAGUUCUCCUCUAAUACAGGGGGCUCAUGACGGUACCGUAAGAAUAAGCACCGGCUAACUACGUGCCAGCCGCCGCAGUAA
rnacentral:rRNA from 1 species